GUUCCCAUACCGAACACGGAAGUUAAGCUCUCUAGCGCCGAUGGUAGUUGGGACCUUGUCCCUGUGAGAGUAGGACGUCGCCAAGCA
rnacentral:rRNA from 2 species